rnacentral:rRNA from 1 species
GACGAACGCUGGCGGCAUGCCUAACACAUGCAAGUCGAACGAGACCUUCGGGUCUAGUGGCGCACGGGUGCGUAACGCGUGGGAACCUGCCCUUAGGUUCGGAAUAACUCCCCGAAAGGGGUGCUAAUACCGGAUAAUGUCUUCGGACCAAAGAUUUAUCGCCUUUGGAUGGGCCCGCGUUGGAUUAGCUAGUUGGUAGGGUAAAAGCCUACCAAGGCGACGAUCCAUAGCUGGUCUGAGAGGAUGAUCAGCCACACUGGGACUGAGACACGGCCCAGACUCCUACGGGGGGCAGCAGUGGGGAAUAUUGGACAAUGGGCGAAAGCCUGAUCCAGCAAUGCCGCGUGAGUGAUGAAGGCCUUAGGGUUGUAAAGCUCUUUUACCCGGGAUGAUAAUGACAGUACCGGGAGAAUAAGCGCCGGCUAACUCCGUG